CUGGAGCUGAAUUAAUGUCACAUAUCGUUCGUUUCACUGGGCUACUACUACUCAACGCAUUUAUUGUGCGCGGUAGACCGGUGGGCGGCAUUCAACAUUAAGUCAGCUCGAAGUCAAACAAAACCCGCGCCGUUGCGCGGGUUUUUUU
rfam:Salmonella enterica subsp. enterica serovar Enteritidis str. LA5, WGS project CAGR02000000 data, contig: Scaffold03-Contig1